GGGGCCACCGGGCAGCGGUUUUUUUUUUUCUGGGACUUUUUCCUGCAAAGUAAGUUGGCACGAAUGUUGGGGCUGGACACUUGUUGGUUUGAGGGUUGCGUGUAUGACGGCUGAAAAGCAAGCAACGAUUGGUAUCGGCGCCUGGAGCCGAGGCUCGGGUUUAAGUUACAUUAUAGCCCCGGCCGGCAGUUAUCGGCAGGCGACGGUCUUGACGCAUCCAGAAAACGCGUCAAGAACAAAAUGUUGCCAGCGCAAUAAAAGCGUCUUAGUUUCCUGCCCUGUUCUUUUGCCAAUGAGCCUCAAACGAAUGCCGAUUCCUGAUCUAGCUGGGAACACCCUCGGCGCAGAGAGCCGCCGGUAGUGGGCGGUGCUGCUCCCGCUGCCCGUACCUGUCAGUAUGGCACCAACUUCAGCACGAACCCAACAACGCUCACUUUACCACUGGCGAUUAUGGAGAGUUCUGGAAAACUGGUGAUUCUUAUGGCUGUAUUCUUGACAGCUCGGCUGCUUUUUUUAUGAAUCAGACGCAGCCUGGUGUGGGCAUGGAGCAGAGCCUGAUGCUUGGCGUGGAGGGUGUGAAGAAGACCAUCCUGCACGGGGGAUCCUCAGAACUACCUCGAUUUGUCACCGGCACAAAGGUGACCUUCCACUUCCGCACGCAGCUGUGUGACGACGAGCGCACAGUGCUGGAUGACAGUAGGAAGGUGGGAGUGCCCAUGGAGAUAGUGAUGGGGAACAUGUUUAAGAUGGAGAUCUGGGAGACGCUGCUUGGCUCCAUGCGGGUCGGGGAGGUGGCCGAGUUCUGGUGCGACGUCAUCCACACAGGACUGUACCCCAUAGUGGCUAAGAGCCUGAGACGCAUCGCAGAGGGGAAAGAUCCUGUGGACUGGCAUAUCCACACCUGCGGCAUGGCCAACGCCUUCGCCUACCACACGCUGGGCUACACCGACCUGGACCAGCUGCAGAAGGAGCCGAAGCCGCUCUGCUUUACGCUGGAGCUGCUGAAGGUGGAGCAGCCGAGCGAGUACCAGCGCGAGUCGUGGGCCCUGAGCAAUGAGGAACGGCUGAAGGCCGUGCCGCUGCUCCAUGGCCAGGGGAACAUGCUCUACAAGCAGGGCCGCUACCAGGAGGCCACGCUCAAGUACAAGGAAGCCCUCAUUUGUAUCAAGAACGUCCAGACCAAGGAAAAAGCAUGGGAGGUCCCCUGGCUGAAGCUGGAGAAGAUGGCCCACACCCUGACCCUCAACUACUGUCAAUGUCUGCUCCGCAUGGAGGAGCACUAUGAGGUCAUCGAGCAUACCAGUGACAUCAUCAGCCAGCACCCAGGUCUCUUCCUCUUUCUGGGCACUGUGCAUGAUGUCAUUAACACUUUUGCACCUGAGUGCAGGUAGCUCUUCUGCUCCCUCAUGGUUACUCUGGCAGAAUCUUCCAGAAGCUACUACUCCUCCACUUCUAGCUUUUACGUCAGCAUUCAGCCGGCGUCCCCCCUCCCACCCCCAGCCCUGAGCUGCAGUGCUCCCGCUUGCCUGCCCGGGUACGAGGCUGCCUCACUGCACACACUGAAUAACAACUGUGUUCUGGGUCCUCUGAAGUAUUGCACACCAGCAGAUUACUGCUCAUCUCUUGUUCUCCAGGCUAUAUCAUGUAUAUAAGACUUCUUGACAUGUACAUUUGUCUGAAGUGCUUUACAGCGGUGUUUCUCAGUCCAGUCCUCUGGGAGCCCCAGACUGUCCAUGUUCUUGCUGCCUCCUACAUCCCAAAAACGUGGACUUUCUGGGGGUCCGCGAGGAUUGGGUUCAGAAACACAGGAUUAAGGGGUCACUAAGGCUUACUUCCUGCGUGCCAAGGCUCACACCCAGGUGUGGAACGAGGACCUGGCCAGGAAGGACUUCCAGAAGGUGCUGGACCUGGACCCCGGCAUGAAGAAGGCAGUGAAGAUGGAGGUGGCG